CAGGAUGAACGCUAGCGGCGCGCUUAAUGCAUGCAAGUCGAGCGAUGAGACUCCUACGGGAGCACAUCAGCGGCAGACGGGUGAGUAACACGUAGAUGACGUACCCUCAAGACGGGGAUAACGGAUGGAAACAUGCGCUAAUACCGGAUGACCUUACGAUGUCAGAAUGGUAAGGAAAGCUACGGCGCUUGAGGAGCGGUCUGCGGCCCAUCAGCUAGUUGGUAGGGUAAAGGCCUACCAAGGCGAAGACGGGUAGGGGGUGUGAGAGCACGGUCCCCCACAAUGGGACUGAGACACGGCCCAUACUCCUACGGGAGGCAGCAGCAGGGAAUAUUGCACAAUGGACGGAAGUCUGAUGCAGCGACGCCGCGUGAGUGAAGAAGGCCUUCGGGUUGUAAAACUCUUUUGAGGGGGAAGAGCGAGGACGGUACCCCUGGAAUAAGCGUCGGCUAACUACGUGCCAGCAGCCGCGGUAAGACGUAGGACGCGAGCGUUAUCCGGAUUUACUGGGCGUAAAGCGUCUGUAGGCGGAUGUGUAAGUUGGGCGUGAAAGCUCCGGGCUUAACCCGGAGAGGCCGUUCAAUACUGCAUAACUUGAGGGUGUCAGAGGGGAGCGGAAUUCCCGGUGUAGCGGUAAAAUGCGCAGAGAUCGGGAGGAACACCAGUGGCGGAGGCGGUUCCCUGGGGCACACCUGACGCUGAGAGACGAAAGCUAGGGGAGCGAACAGGAUUAGGGACCCUGGUAGUCCUAGCCCUAAACGAUGAAUGCUAGGUGUGGGAUCGAAUGGUUCCGUGCCGGAGCGAACGCGAUAAGCAUUCCGCCUGGGGAGUACGGCCGCAAGGUUAAAACUCAAACGAAUUGACGGGGCCCCGCACAAGCAGCGGAGCGUGUGGUUUAAUUCGAUGCUACACGAAGAACCUUACCCUGGGUUUGACAUGUAGGUGUAGUAAAUCGAAAGGUGAACGACCCUUCGGGGAGCCUACACCAGGUGCUGCAUGGCUGUCGUCAGCUCGUGCCGUGAGGUGUUCAGGGUUAAGUUCCCGUAACGAGCGCCAAACACCAUUGCUUCCUAGUUACAAGUGUCUAGGGGGACUGCCGGCAGGAAAGCACGGAGGAACGGUCGGGGAUGACGUCAAGUCAGCAUGGCCCUUAUAUCCAGGGCUACACACACGUACAAUGGUCGGUACAAAGGGCAGCGAAACCGCGAGGCGGAGCGAAUCCGAGAAAAGCCGAUCGUAGUUCGGAUAGCAGGCUGCAACCCGCCUGCUUGAAGCUGGAGUUGCUAGUAACCGCGCGUCAGCCAUAGCGCGGUGAUACGUUCCCGGGGCUUGUACACACCGCCCGUCACGUCAUGGGAGUCGGUAACGCCUGAAGCCGGUAGUCUAAC
rnacentral:rRNA from 1 species